rnacentral:rRNA from 1 species
GAUAAACGCUGACAGAAUGCUUAACACAUGCAAGUCUAUGAGGAAGUUUAGCUUGCUAAAUGGACUCAUGGCGGACGGGUGAGUAACGCGUAAAGAACUUGCCCUUUAGACUGGGAUAACAGAGGGAAACUUCUGAUAAUACUGGAUAAGUUAGUAUAUCGCAUGAUAUGCAAAUGAAAGCUACGGCACUAAAGGAGAGCUUUGCGUCCUAUUAGCUAGUUGGUAAGGUAAGAGCUUACCAAGGCGAUGAUAGGUAGCCGGCCUGAGAGGGUGGACGGCCACAAGGGGACUGAGAUACGGCCCUUACUCCUACGGGAGGCAGCAGUGGGGAAUAUUGGACAAUGGAGGGAACUCUGAUCCAGCAAUUCUGUGUGUGUGAAGAAGGUUUUAGGACUGUAAAACACUUUUAGUAGGGAAGAAAAAAAUGACGGUACCUACAGAAGAAGCAACGGCUAAAUACGUGCCAGCAGCCGCGGUAAUACGUAUGUUGCGAGCGUUAUCCGGAAUUAUUGGGCUUAAAGGGCAUCUAGGCGGUAAGACAAGUUGAAGGUGAAAACCUGUGGCUCAACCAUAGGCUUGCCUACAAAACUGUUGAACUAGAGUACUGGAAAGGUGGGUGGAACUACACGAGUAGAGGUGAAAUUCGUAGAUAUGUGUAGGAAUGCCGAUGAUGAAGAUAACUCACUGGACAGAAACUGACGCUGAAGUGCGAAAGCUAGGGGGAGCAAACAGG